GACGACCGCUGGCGGCGUGCUUAACACAUGCAAGUCGAACGGAAAGGCCCUGCUUUUGUGGGGUGCUCGAGUGGCGAACGGGUGAGUAACACGUGAGUAACCUGCCCUUGACUUUGGGAUAACUUCAGGAAACUGGGGCUAAUACCGGAUAGGAGCUCCUGCUGCAUGGUGGGGGUUGGAAAGUUUCGGCGGUUGGGGAUGGACUCGCGGCUUAUCAGCUUGUUGGUGGGUAGUGGCUUACCAAGGCUUUGACGGGUAGCCGGCCUGAGAGGGUGACCGGCCACAUUGGGACUGAGAUACGGCCCAGACUCCUACGGGAGGCAGCAGUGGGGAAUAUUGCACAAUGGGCGGAAGCCUGAUGCAGCAACGCCGCGUGCGGGAUGACGGCCUUCGGGUUGUAAACCGCUUUCGCCUGUGACGAAGCGUGAGUGACGGUAAUGGGUAAAGAAGCACCGGCUAACUACGUG
rnacentral:rRNA from 1 species